rnacentral:rRNA from 1 species
CAGUCGCCACGGUAAUACAGAGGGUGCGAGCGUUAAUCGGAUUUACUGGGCGUAAAGCGUGCGUAGGCGGCUUUUUAAGUCGGAUGUGAAAUCCCUGAGCUUAACUUAGGAAUUGCAUUCGAUACUGGGAAGCUAGAGUAUGGGAGAGGAUGGUAGAAUUCCAGGUGUAGCGGUGAAAUGCGUAGAGAUCUGGAGGAAUACCGAUGGCGAAGGCAGCCAUCUGGCCUAAUACUGACGCUGAGGUACGAAAGCAUGGGGAGCAAACAGGAUUAGAUACCCGCGUAGACCCUGUCUCUUAUAA